rnacentral:misc_RNA from 1 species
GUGAGUCAUCGAAUCUUUGAACGCACCUUGCGCUCCUUGGUAUUCCGAGGAGCAUGCCUGUUUGAGUGUCUUGAAGUCAUCAACCCACGCCGUUUUACUGCGGCCGGCGGUUGGACGUGGGGUGUGCUGCCGCGAGGCUGCUCCCCUAAAAUGCGUCGGUUGGGCCUGUGGGUCGAACUCGAAAGGGCGUUGUACCAUCCUCGCUCCCUCGAGAUGCCUCCCCUCCCGUGCCCCUCCACGACCUGCCUCUGAAGGGUGGCGGUCAAAAACAUUUUGAAAUCUGACCUCAAAUCAGGUAGG